GUAGGCAAAAAGUUUUCAAAUACGACUCCAUAACAGGAAGAAGGAUAAAUGAGGGGCAAGCAGAAGUAAGGGUGAAAUGGUUACCUUGCUCUGCAUGUGGAAAAAUCUGGGAGGAGACAUGGGAGCCGGCCUGCCAGUUCUCACCAGGUGUCAAGCAUGUGUGACGUCACCCAUUCAUCUACAAUUCAGUAUGAGUUGAAUACCUGCGAU